AAUAAAUACAUCAUUAAUCUAUAAAUUAAAAGUUGAAGAGCUUACAUUAAUUAUUCAGUGGAUACAUGGCAAAUGUUAAAGUGAUGAUGUGUCAAUCAUAUGGAGAGAGUUGGCUAACUUUCAUAUAUAUAAUUAGUAGAUUAAAAACUCACUAAAGAAUAGAACAAGUUUUCUUGUAAUGAGUUUUCAGAGAAAAAUCUUAUUGCUGUAAUUGACAAACCAGUGCAAAUGGUUGACGUAAUUGAAGAAAUUAAAAGAGUU
rnacentral:sRNA from 1 species